UACGUAGGUGGCAAGCGUUGUCCGGAUUUACUGGGCGUAAAGCGCGCGCAGGCGGCCCUUUAAGUCUACCCGUGAAAUGCCGGAGCUCAACUCCGUGCACGCCGGGGGAUACUGGGGGGCUGGAGACAGGUAGAGGCAAGCGGAAUUCCGGGUGUAGCGGUGGAAUGCGUAGAUAUCCGGAAGAACACCUGAGGCGAAGGCGGCUUGCUGGGCCUGAUCUGACGCUGAGGCGCGAAAGCGUGGGGAGCAAACAGG
rnacentral:rRNA from 1 species